rnacentral:rRNA from 1 species
AUUGAACGCUGGCGGCAUGCCUUACACAUGCAAGUCGAACGGCAGCACGGGUGCUUGCACCUGGUGGCGAGUGGCGAACGGGUGAGUAAUACAUCGGAACGUACCUUAUCGUGGGGGAUAACGCAGCGAAAGCUGUGCUAAUACCGCAUACGCCCUGAGGGGGAAAGCGGGGGAUCGCAAGACCUCGCGCGAUCAGAGCGGCCGAUGCCUGAUUAGCUUGUUGGUGGGGUAAAAGCCCACCAAGGCGACGAUCAGUAGCUGGUCUGAGAGGACGAUCGGCCACAAUGGGACUGAGACACGGCCCAGACUCCUACGGGAGGCAGCAGUGGGGAAUUUUGGACAAUGGGGGCAACCCUGAUCCAGCAAUGCCGCGUGAGUGAAGAAGGCCUUCGGGUUGUAAAGCUCUUUUGUCAGGGAAGAAACACCGGCUCUAACACAGUCCGGGAAUGACGGUACCUGAAGAAUAAGCACCGGCUAACUACGUGCCAGCCGCCGCCGUAA